rnacentral:rRNA from 1 species
UACGUAGGGGGCAAGCGUUGUCCGGAAUUAUUGGGCGUAAAGCGCACGCAGGCGGUCGCACGCGUUUCCGGUGCCAGCUCGUUGCUUACCGACGGGAGUGCCGGGAAGACGGUGUGACUGGAGCACCUCAGAGGGACAUAGAAUUCCGGGUGGAGUGGUGAAAUGCGUAGAUAUCCGGAGGAAUACCAAUGGCGAAGGCAGUGUCCUGGGAGGUGGCUGACGCUAAGGUGCGAAAGCCAGGGGAGCGAACGGG